CCACCCAUUGCAGUCACAGCACCAGAAGGGACAAAGGAAGCAUUCGUUGAACACUGGGCGAAGGGGUCAUGACCUAAGAAGUUUGGUCAGUAAGACUGCUGAAUUGUGGCGUGACUUCUUCAUUCAUACAUCAGAAGACAGACAGCUAAGAAGCCUUUAUCAUUUCUUCUAGAGCAGGAGCUGGAUUAAAGUACUCUGCGGGUUUACUUGGCAAGAUUAAAGUUUUCCACAGAAAAGAAUGGUGAUAAAAGGCUUGACAUGCUUUCCCCAUGGAAAAGAUGUUUCUAUCAAGCAGAUGGGUGGAUAUUCCUCAAUCUUUCUAAUAAGAAUUAAUGGAAAUUAAAAAAGGAUUUAUUGACUGAUGGCAGAUGGCUGGAGGAUUUUGUGGAGGUGCAACUUGUGUAAAUUACAGCAACAGCACACUCAACCUCUUUCUGUGGAC